rnacentral:rRNA from 1 species
GAUGAACGCUGGCGGCGUGCCUAAUACAUGCAAGUCGAACGCAUAGCGAAAGGUGCUUGCACCUUUCAAGUGCGUGGCGAACGGGUGAGUAACACGUGGACAACCUGCCUCAAGGCUGGGGAUAACAUUUGGAAACAGAUGCUAAUACCGAAUAAAACUUAGUGUCGCAUGACACAAAGUUAAAAGGCGCUUCGGCGUCACCUAGAGAUGGAUCCGCGGUGCAUUAGUUAGUUGGUGGGGUAAAGGCCUACCAAGACAAUGAUGCAUAGCCGAGUUGAGAGGAUGGUCAGGCAAAAUUGAAAUGAGACAAGGGCAAAAACCCCAAGGGGGGGCGCAGGUGGGGAAAUUGCAAAAAGGGGGAAAGCCUGAAGGGGGCAAGGCGGGGGGGUGAAGAAAGGCUUUGGGGUGGAAAAGACCUUUUGUAGGGAAAAAAGGGAGAAAAUAGAAAAUGAUUUUGGUUGAAGGGAACAAAACAAGAAAGGGAGGCCAAAAUAGGG